CUCAAUCUUUGUAGCUUCAUCUCCAUUGUUAUUAUUCUUCUUCCACCUCGCAAUCCAAGGCGCGUGCGUCGCAGGAUAAACUCUACUGUGGCGGCGCCACUUCCAUCUCCGACUCCGUUCACGCCCGCCUGCUCCACUCUCUGUUCUUCUUCGUAGCUCUCUUGCAACCAUCGAGUCUGAGAUCUUGUAGGUGGUCCCUUCACUUCACAUGGUUGAGCUGUGCAAGUCUGAAGGAGAUACUUUGAAAUUUCACAAGGUAAUUUAAUGAAAAAUUAAUUAUGUGUUUGUUUAUGGUAGUGAAAUAAUUCCUUGACAUCAUUAGUACUAGUGUUUAAGGCAGUGAAAAGCAGUGUUUAUCUUCACGUCCUCUCUUAAAGAACUACACUAUGAAUGCAGAAGAACAUAAUGAACAUGCUGAAAUUUAUAGUUUUUCUAGGUUAAUUAAAGCAGAGAUGAUAAAGAUGAUGAACAGUGACCAAAACUCAAACUAAAAGAGUGUGCAAAGACUAUAGUUCAUUGA